rnacentral:lncRNA from 1 species
ACAACUCUAGCUCAAACACCAAGUUGCACAAAAAUCAAUCAAUAAAAGAUUAAAAUUGAUUAAAAAGGGAAAUUAAAGAGAAAAUUUAAAUCAAGGACCAAAACAUAAAAUAAAUGGUUGAGAAAAUUAGAGAAAGUCAAGAAAAAUACAAGUAAAUGGAUCUUCAAAGUUGGAUGUAAAAAUAUUUGAAAAUGGUUGAAAAAUAAAAUUGAAAAUGAA